CUGUACUUCAAAACAAUCUUUGUCAACAGUUUGGGCCUAAUGUGUAUUUAAAAAAAAAGGAUGACAGCACCAUAUCUUCAUUUCUAUAUAAAUUCUUCUGUGAGCACAGGAAUAUAUUGACCAAGCUGUUGUAAGUCAGUAAAGUGUAACUGCAAAUAGAUUGUGACACCUCUGAACUAAUGGAAAAGUUGGCGUUUGCAGCGUCAUCCUUCAACUGAAAGGACCUGUAUGUUUGGACUAUCCUUAUCUAGUUCACCGUGAAAUGGUGAGUGCAUUCUUCUUUUUGGCUUGCCUUUGUAUUUUUUGGGCUAAUUAUUGUUUAACUGUAUUGCUUGUGGUUCACAUUUGAUGUGUAAGAUGUCAUGUAUGGGGCACCUCACACAGCUACAGAUGUUAAUGGCAGGAACACCCACUAUUGAAACUGUGGUAUAUAAAGGUGAAGUAACACUCAGACAUAAUCUCACCUUUACAAUGGGGCCUUUACAAUGCCAAUCUCAUAUGUGUCUAUAAAUCAAGCCCAUAGAGAGUCAUAACAAAAUACUAAUGUGCGCUUGUAUUACAAGUUAAUCGAGAGCGUGCUUCCAUAGGCUCCUAUGGGAUCCUCAUUCUGAUGCCAUCUGUGACGGCAUCAGAACCUUGAGCAGCAAAGAAAGUAUGUAGCGCAGCGAUGGGCAGCAAUUUUUAAAUAUAUAUGUGUAUAAUGUGCUCAGAGGCAGAUACAAACUAGUUCAUUUACGGAAUCAAGGCAAUCGCCUUACCAAAAAGUAUAAACAUCCGUUGCCAAUAGAGACCGGGACACAGUUUCCACCAUUGGCUCAUCAGGACACGUAACGUAUGACGUCACCCGUAAGAAGAAACACGCCCACCCAGCUCGUUUAAAAGUUUGCUGGUUUCACUGUACUGCACAUCGCCUCUGACGAAGAAGUACAUGAGACUUCGAAACGUGUAAGGCUUUCCUGGUGUGGCAGUACAGUUUCUUCUCGCUUACGUUGUAAACCGGCCACCUUUUGU